AACGAACGCUGGCGGCAUGCCUAACACAUGCAAGUCGAUCGAGACCUUCGGGUCUAGUGGCGCACGGGUGCGUAACGCGUGGGAACCUGCCCUUAGGUUCGGAAUAACUCCCCGAAAGGGGUGCUAAUACCGGAUAAUGUCUUCGGACCAAAGAUUUAUCGCCUUUGGAUGGGCCCGCGUUGGAUUAGCUAGUUGGUAGGGUAAAAGCCUACCAAGGCGACGAUCCAUAGCUGGUCUGAGAGGAUGAUCAGCCACACUGGGACUGAGACACGGCCCAGACUCCUACGGGAGGCAGCAGUGGGGAAUAUUGGACAAUGGGCGAAAGCCUGAUCCAGCAAUGCCGCGUGAGUGAUGAAGGCCUUAGGGUCGUAAAGCUCUUUUACCCGGGAUGAUAAUGACAGUACCGGGAGAAUAAGCUCCGGCUAACUCCGUG
rnacentral:rRNA from 1 species